GUACUGUUGAUGUGGUAAGCACACAACAUCGUUUCACUUUAAUGUUACAUUAAUUCACAUAAUAGAAUAAUCUAAAGGCAAAUAAAAAAUCACACUUGAGAUUCCGUGUUUUUUUUAUUUUGAGCGUUGAACACUUAAGUUGACCACCUGAGAAUAUAUAGCAUUACUCAACACCUGAAGUAGCUGAGUGAAGAUAGAAUGGAGUUUGUAAGGUUUUUAGUGCUGAUGAUCACAAGUCUUGUCCUGCUUUUGCACAACUCAUGUGCUCUUGUUGUUCAUCACCAAGGAAGGAAACUGAAGGGGAACUCUCCGAUGGCUAGCCAAGAAAAUUUAGCACCUGCUAAAAUGGGACUUAUUCAUCGUGAUUCUUAAUCUGAUGCUGUCGGGGGAAACCAGCAGCAAUGGAACUACUAGUUAGCUGACAGGGAGAGGAUAUAUGUGAAGCUGCUUUCGACAAUCUAAUUGAGGAUGCUUUGCUAAUUUCCACAUAUGCCCCAAAAGAUGGUGCUCUUGGAAUAAUCGACGACAAUGGGCCUGAUAUCAAAAGUCUUUUGUUAUGGAUUUUUUGUUGAUAAAAAAUUUGGUGUAAUAAUAUAUUGAUGUAUUUUAUUUAACAUUCAAGAUUUAGGAUUUUUUUUUACUAAUGUCAGUAACAAUGGUACGCUCUUGACGGUGGUGGUUUAGGUAUCGUUAGAUUUGUGGUGGGUAACAUUCUUAGUUGUUUUUUGGGAUUUUCUUGUAUUGAACCUUUAAUGGUGGAAUAAUAUAUUUAUGAAAUGGUCAUGUCCAUUUUUUUUAUUAAUACUGUUGCAAUAUG